UUUGGAGGAUAUAAGGUUUACUUCUAAGGAGAUAAAAAGCAAUUGAUGCUUCCUCAAAAUAAAAAAGUUGACUCCAGCCAUGUUUUUAUUUGUUGAGAAAUAUUCUAUAUCUACACUAUGGGAUACAGACUAACAGUUAUUUACCUGUCUAUUGAGUACUUGUCACCUAGGAGUCAUCAGUAAGUUGCAUCCAUUAAACAAAGAAAAGUCAUUCAACCAGCCAUCUGGAGACAACAUGAGCAAAAAAGAAGAGCAGGAAGCGGGCAAGAAGGGAAACUGUCCUAGAAAGAGAGUAAAGAAGACCAAAGUGAUCAGACAACUAAAUUUGCUCAAAAGCAUGUGCCAGUCCUAGAAGAUAUAUACAGUGGUCUUUUGGAAGUGGGGAUGUUCUUGUAGAGACCAGGUUUGAUGUUACUGAAGAGCAAAGGACGAGAAACUGAAAAAAAAAAAGAACACAUUGAAAUAACAUUUUAUUCCUGCAACCCUGACUUCUGAUGAAAACAGGAUGGUAAGUAGUGUAAAGAAGGGAUAGAAAGCAGGUUCUAAGUGGCCAGCAAAUGCACCUUAGAUACCCUUUAAUCUACAAGGCUCUGCUGUGACCCACAAUUGGAAAUUAAAUUGGUCUUUCAUUAUUGUGUUAACAUAUUGUUUCAGAGAAUAAUUGAAGCUUUAGACUUAGUAAUUUCUGAUGCAACGAUUCCAGGCCUGAUAAAUAUAUAUUAUAUGGCAUGUCAAAGAAAAGUCAUACCAGGCAGAGUUAAAACAGGCAAGGAAAAUUUUAUUCAAGAUUAUUACAACGGGGGAAGAGAUUGAACUCAACUCCACGGAAACAGGAAAGAGAAUUUUUAAGCUCUACGGGCAAAGGUUAACACUGAGGAGAAACUGCUGGAAGUAGAAUCCAAAUUAAGUAAGAGAAGAAACAGAGACCAGAUCCAGGUCCCCACUUGAAUCACUAUAAUUAUUGAAAAUAGCAGCUGAUACGUACCAAUAUAAAACUGAAGACUUGCUAUGACCCAGGAACUCUGGGAAGCAUGUUAUGUAAUUGCAUCUGCCUUCCUUGCUGGACUCUAAGCUCCUUGAGGACAAAGAUGUAUCCAUUGUGCCACUUCUACAUUCUCCAAGCCUAGCAGAGAACCAAGAACUAAGGGCUCAAAAACAUGUGUUGAAUUAAUUAAGAAUAUCACAGCAAAUCCUCUGAAAAACUCAGAGAUAAGUGACAUCAUCAUCCUUAUUUUAUAGAUGACAAACCUGAAAUUUGGGUCAAGAACACAGAGCCUGUGGGUGACAAACAGCAAUCCAAACCAACAAUCAGAUUCCCAAACUUGAAAACUCAUCUACUCUGCCUCACUGAUCAGUUUGUUUGCCCAGUUUCACCAUAAAAGAGUAGGUAAGAUGGGGAGUGAGGAGAGAGACACAAGGAAAAACAUCUCUUGCUUGAGACACCCUCUUCUUUCUUACUCACUUGCCACACAUUCUUUAAGGCUUAUUUCCAGCCCAAAAUUCUCCAAGAAAUCUUUUUGGACCAUACAGCUCUUUUUGUUUCUUCUGAAUACCAGCAGCCCUUAAUAUCCAUUGAAAAGAAUUAAAAAACUACCCCAGCUCUCCUGCAUAGCUCAUUCUUGUUAAGUGUAUGGAGUCCUCUGAAUUUCCCAAAAGCAUGAUAAGGUCCUAAGGGCAAGGUACCCAAUUAUUUUCCCUGUUUGCGGAACAGCACACAGCACAAAAAUGAACACAUGGUUUAGGUUCUUUGUAACUACCUAAGGUCAGAUCAGCUAGAGUGACUAGUUAAUGAUAUACAUAAUAUCAGUAUCAGACCAGGAAUAUCCUUCCUCCUCUCAUUUGUAAAAUUCUCUCAAAUAUCACCCAUUAAAACUGUGGACUUCUUCAUCCUUUUUGUGUUCAUUUAUCUAAAGUGCUAGACAAGCCAGGAGAAUGCCCUGGCCAAAGAAAAUUAAAGGA
rnacentral:lncRNA from 1 species